GGGCACCAUCAACAGCAACAAACAAUAUAUAUAUAUAUAUAUAUAUGCCGAGUUUAUGCGUGCGUGCUUCGGUGGAUAUGCCUCGACAUUGACGUAUGCGCGUGCGCGUGUGCGUGUGUGCAUGCCAUAAACCUGUUGUGCUCUCUCUGCCGAUCUCUUUGUGCUCGUGCGUGGUCGUCUCUGUAAGGUUGGGCGUCUCGUCUCGUCUCGUCUCGUCUCUCUCCCUCCUUGCUCGUUUUCUUUUUUCGUAUACAUCUACGUGUUGCGCCUCUACCUUCCACGCCUCAUCUCCCUCCAUCCCCGUCCUUUCCACGUCUCCCUUGCCUUGUGUCUCCACUUCCACACCCCGCCAUGCGCCUCUCUCGUGCGCGUGUGUGUGCGUUGCUGUUCGCUCUUCAUGUCCCCUUGCCCAUUUCUUCCGACACGAAGGGUCUGUUGGUGUUUCAGUCACUUGUUAUGUACUGGCUUCGUGCUUCGCCUCUCCCCUGUGUCGGUGUAGGCGGUCACUGACCUGGGUAUGCGCAGAAAAGGAGGUUGUUGCUUACGCGCACACGCUUCCGUCGGCGCGGCGACCGCAGCAGCACACAGGCGCAGAGGGCUGACACACACCAAUCAGGAUUCAACAAAAAGCCUGAAGGGGAGAGAAAAACUGGCAAAAGGGAGGGCGGUGAGCCACUUACUCACCCACACGAACAUGGAAAGUGCGCGCGCGUAUGUGUGUGUGUGUGGAGGGAGGGUGAGAGGAUGCAGAGAAACAUAGAGAGGGAGAGGGACGCGAGGCAGGGAAAGCAAACCUAUCGUGAGUGCAUGGAGGCAGUGGCGGACGUGUGCAGGCACGACGUGCAGCAUCAGCGCUGCACACUCUUUUUCUGUCUCGCCUGUCUUGUUCCUCUAUCGCUGUGCGCUCUCCCCCUCUCCAUCGAAAAAGACGAAGGACACGGUGAAGUACUGAUCAAGUGACGGGCUCACACAUACACACACACAAC
rnacentral:misc_RNA from 1 species